GGUGCGCAGCGUCCAUGGGGACAAGCGGUCUUGAAAACCGUCGCCGACCGCAAGGUUGAGGGUUCGAUUCCCUGGCGCACCGCCA
rnacentral:tRNA from 1 species